AGGGAUAUAGCUCAGCGGAAGAGCGUGUGCUUAGCAUGCUCCAGGACCUAGGUUCAAUCCUCAGUACCUCCA
rnacentral:tRNA from 1 species